UUGAAAGGGAAACGAUUGAAGUCAGUCGUACUGACGGGAAAUCAACUUCUCGAGUGCUUGUCGUGAAUGACGUUGAGCUUCACGGCCUUCGUUGCUUGCUUUAUGGUGCUUUUGAGGUGUACUUUUCCGUAUGGUAAGUCAACAUCGAUUUUGAUCGUCAUAAAAUGAUCGGAGGAAUGUGGCUCUGAUCUUGUAUCGGAGUGUUAUAGCCUUUGGUAGAUGUGACGAUUGGGAUCGAGGAUUGCAACGAAUACCCUUCUGGGCUAUCCGUCUGACCUCUGAAAGUCGCUCGGGUGUCGAAAGCGUGCUUAUGACAUUUUAGUUGGCGGUCAAAAGGUUAGAACGUGAUUACAUUCGUUAAGGAUGUUGACGUA
rnacentral:rRNA from 1 species